ACUUUACAUUUAUAGUAUUAUUUUCUACUUUUAUAUAUUCACCACCUGUUGCAAAGCAUAAUUUUUUUUUUCUUUCAAGGUAUUUAAUGAGACUAAUAUACAACUUACUUUAAAUAAUGUCAUGUUUUACUAUCAGUUUAUCUUUAUAAAUAGCACCAACAAAACUUCCUUAGACAAAAAAUAUAAGGCUUCCCUAGAGAACAAAAAGUUGUCUAAGCUUCGUUUUAUUUGUUUAAUUUUUCAAAAAUAACAACCUAGUACCUUGUUUGCUCUGAUGUACCUUCAAUGCUCUUAUUUUGUUAUCAAGCUUUAAACAGUUUUAAAAAAGUAUCAAUAUCUGGAAAAGGACAUUUUGAAACAACCAAAUUAGAUACUUUACUCUCGAAUGUCUAUUCCACCUGCAAAUUACUUUUAUUUUUUUCAACUAAUAUUGUAUUUCCUGAGACUUUACAGUUUCCAUGGUGCGCAGUUUAUCAGUUAGUGAUGCUAUCCUUGUGUUUCCACUUGCCAUUCCAAAUUUGUAUUUUUAUGGUAUCUCAAAUCAGCUAACACAAGAAACUAGUUAAACUUUAAUACCUUAAAAACUCUACAUAACCAUAUUUCAGACUUAUCUUUAUUAAAGUACUUGUACAAACAAUAAUUAAUAAUAAUAUAUAUUAAGAUUAUUCAAACUUUUUUUCUUUAUCUUUAUUAUAAUUCAGUUAUAAAGAAAUUGAGAUAAAAUUGAAAGCCUAUUUUGAAAGUUAUUUUUGAGCCAGUCAAAGUUGAAAUGCAAUAAUAAAAUAUUUUAGAGAUUUUAUUUUAAUGUAAAGUUUUCUAUUAUUUCUAAUAAAGUUAAUGUAAUUUAUUAUUAAAUGUGCCAAGUUUAACUUGUAACUUGUGACUUUCUGGUUUUAAAAAACUUAGUAUUUAUUCAUUUUAAAGUUUCAAGUUUUUUUGUGUGCUUUUCUUUAGGUUAAGGUUUAGCCAUAGUGGCUUGAAAUCAUAAUAUUUAGUUCAUCUUUUAAUUUCAGAUGUCUAAAGUUAAACUUCCUCAAUCAGAUGUCGAUCUUCUGAUGACUGAUUUUUCUGUACCAGUUAUACAAUUGCUUAAUGGAGUUAGUAAUGUUUUUGUUUUGAAAGAACUGAAGAAUGCACUAACUCAAUUUUCAUCAUUAAAAGUUAUUGAUAGCGACCAUUUUGGUAACAGGGAGUUCUUCUCACGACUCAAGAUUACUUUGAAAAACCUCUAUCCUGAGUUUAAGGAUGAUUGGAUCUAUUCUUUCGAAAACCAAACUGGUAAUAAAAGGUUUGAUGAAAGAUUGUUGGUCUCUAGGUAGUCCCAUAACUGCGAUUGUACAGUCGUUCAAAAAAUUUAGAAAACAUUGGCAAUACAGAAAAUGGUCAAAAGUUGCUGAAUUCAUUGAACAAACUUGAUUUAUGUAUGAGUAUAUCUUUUGCUAUUUUCCAAUUUGUUGGUACUGUAUGUAAGAGAAUCUGCUAUAUUUCCGGCAAUGUCUUUAAUAAAACGUGCAGGUUGAUUAGGUUGUGUGCAACAUAACGGAAGAAAGAACAAAAACUGUCGGCCAUUAGUUUAUUUUCUGUAGAGAAUUGCUUAAUGCUAUUGUUUUCAAUGGUUUGUUUAGUUGGGAAUAUGCGUUUAAUGGCUUUCCAGUACUCUUUCAAUUAUCACGAGAAAAUAACAUCUAUAGAUAAUUUAAAAUAUUAAAAAAAGAGCUUUGUUUUUCAAAGCCUAAUUUCUUGUUAAACAAUAUUGUUAUUUACAAAUAAUAAACAUAUUCUGUAAUAGUUUAAGUUGUUUUGGUAGAUCUUUUAUUGAUCUCAAAUUGUUCACAUUGGUUGUAGUUAUAGAUUGAACUGUGUUUGGUAUCUUGAAAACCUACAACAAUGCUUGUUUUUCUGAUUUAAUCAAUACCUAUUCUGUCAAUGAGUCAAAUUUUCCAUUCUGCACAUGUCUGAUUCACAGAAUUAACUUUACUCUAUCCAUCGAAUAUAAGAAUAAUGUUUUUAUUCGUGCAAAAAUGGUACCAUAAAUUCUCAAUCUGAAAUAUUACUGAAAAAAACUAAUAAAAAAAACAAGUGGAUUUUAAGUCAAAUUCAACUUUUAUUAUUUUUGUUAAUAAAACUGAAACUAUACGAAUUGAAGUUACGAAUGUAGAUUUAUAUUGACAACAUAGUCAACCAGCAAUAAUGCAUUUUUCAUAAAAUGUUGUUGCAAUAACUAUUUUUCAUAACAAGUUGUUGAACUUUUGUUUAUGUAUUAAAAAUGUUAUUUAUAUUUCUGAGUUUUCUGAGUUUUAGUUAAUUUUUGUUUAUAAAUAAGCUAGAAUGCAAUCAAUAGUAUUUCUAUAAUUCAUUGAAGCAAUCUCUUUAUUUAAUAAAACUGUCAUUCCCUAUGGCAAAAAAAAGUGUUGUUGAUUCAAAUCAAUUAUGUGAUAAAACAAGUUAUUAUGAUGUUUUCUUAUACCCUAGUGUGUGAGAAGUUUUUUUUUUUUUUUUUUUUUUUUUUUCAUGAAUUUUUAAAAUUUUAUAAACUAUUGUUACAACUCCUUCUCUUGACGUAAUAUAUAGUCAUAGAGAAAAACAAAAAUAAAUGUAUACAUAUAUAAAUUGUUAAAAAUAUAUUGACAAACACAC
rnacentral:lncRNA from 1 species